rnacentral:rRNA from 1 species
UACGUAGGGGGCAAGCGUUAUCCGGAUUUACUGGGUGUAAAGGGGGCGCAGACGGCAAUGCAAGCCAGGAGUGAAAGCCCGGGGCCCAACCCCGGGACUGCUCUUGGAACUGCAUGGCUGGAGUACAGGAGGGGCAGGCGGGAUUCCUAGUGUAGCGGUGAAAUGCGUAGAUAUUAGGAGGAACACCGGUGGCGAAGGCGGCCUGCUGGACUGUGACUGACGUUGAGGCCCGAAGGCGUGGGGAGCAAACAGG